GAAUAUUGGACAAUGGGCGCAAGCCUGAUCCAGCAAUGCCGCGUGAGUGAGGAAGGCCUUAGGGUUGUAAAGCUCUUUCACCCGCGACGAUGAUGACGGUAGCGGGAGAAGAAGCCCCGGCUAACUUCGUGCCAGCAGCCGCGGUAAUACGAAGGGGGCGAGCGUUGUUCGGAUUUACUGGGCGUAAAGGGCGCGCAGGCGGCUCCAUAUGUCAGGCGUGAAAGCCCCGGGCUUAACCUGGGAACUGCGUUUGAUACGGUGGGGCUAGAGUUCGGGAGAGGAGAGUGGAAUUCCCAGUGUAGAGGUGAAAUUCGUAGAUAUUGGGAAGAACACCGGUGGCGAAGGCGGCUCUCUGGACCGAGACUGACGCUGAGGCGCGAAAGCGUGGGGAGCAAACAG
rnacentral:rRNA from 1 species